rnacentral:lncRNA from 1 species
UAUGAUCAGAACCUACAGGGAAGGGAUCAACAAAAAAGCCGUAAGCUGUAUACAGAAACAAAGAUGAACACCCAUAAGCAUAAACUGUUUCGUAUGAAAGGCACAUCGGGUAGUACCAUUUGAAUUUUCCGGUACAUAUGCACCAUAAACAUGUGUGAGAUUACUCGCCGCCGGCAACGAAGCAACUUGAUGCACACCCACCCGUAGCAAACUUGUUCCAUCUGAUUGUUCUUGCCUGGAUCAAUACAAAGCCAAUGAUAUAUAGGCAACAAAGUAUGCAGGCAACAUUCUCAGCAUUGAGUAGCUAUAUCGUCAACAUUUACCUUUUCCCUUUUAUCCUCAUCUACCUAAAUACCCAGAUAGAACUCUGCUUGCCCAACAGCUCCACAUGCUCUGACUUCUUCUGUCUUUUUAGCUUCUCCUUAUUCCUCCAGCUCUCGGCUUCUCAACUUCUAAGAUCUUUCUUUCAUCUGUACA